rnacentral:rRNA from 1 species
GAACAUAAGAGUUUGAUCCUGGCUCAGAUUGAACGCUGGCGGCAUGCUUUACACAUGCAAGUCGGACGGCAGCACAGGGAAGCUUGCUUCUCGGGUGGCGAGUGGCGAACGGGUGAGUAACAUAUCGGAACGUACCGGGUAGCGGGGGAUAACUGAUCGAAAGAUCAGCUAAUACCGCAUACGUCUUGAGAGGGAAAGCAGGGGACCUUCGGGCCUUGCGCUAUCCGAGCGGCCGAUAUCUGAUUAGCUGGUUGGCGGGGUAAAGGCCCACCAAGGCGACGAUCAGUAGCGGGUCUGAGAGGAUGAUCCGCCACACUGGGACUGAGACACGGCCCAGACUCCUACGGGAGGCAGCAGUGGGGAAUUUUGGACAAUGGGCGCAAGCCUGAUCCAGCCAUGCCGCGUGUCUGAAGAAGGCCUUCGGGUUGUAAAGGACUUUUGUCAGGGAAGAAAAGGCUGUUGCCAAUAUCGGCGGCCGAUGACGGUACCUGAAGAAUAAGCACCGGCUAACUACGUGCCAGCAGCCGCGGUAAUACGUAGGGUGCGAGCGUUAAUCGGAAUUACUGGGCGUAAAGCGGGCGCAGACGGUUACUUAAGCAGGAUGUGAAAUCCCCGGGCUCAACCCGGGAACUGCGUUCUGAACUGGGUGACUCGAGUGUGUCAGAGGGAGGUGGAAUUCCACGUGUAGCAGUGAAAUGCGUAGAGAUGUGGAGGAAUACCGAUGGCGAAGGCAGCCUCCUGGGAUAACACUGACGUUCAUGUCCGAAAGCGUGGGUAGCAAACAGGAUUAGAUACCCUGGUAGUCCACGCCCUAAACGAUGUCAAUUAGCUGUUGGGCAACUUGAUUGCUUGGUAGCGUAGCUAACGCGUGAAAUUGACCGCCUGGGGAGUACGGUCGCAAGAUUAAAACUCAAAGGAAUUGACGGGGACCCGCACAAGCGGUGGAUGAUGUGGAUUAAUUCGAUGCAACGCGAAGAACCUUACCUGGUUUUGACAUGUGCGGAAUCCUCCGGAGACGGAGGAGUGCCUUCGGGAGCCGUAACACAGGUGCUGCAUGGCUGUCGUCAGCUCGUGUCGUGAGAUGUUGGGUUAAGUCCCGCAACGAGCGCAACCCUUGUCAUUAGUUGCCAUCAUUCGGUUGGGCACUCUAAUGAGACUGCCGGUGACAAGCCGGAGGAAGGUGGGGAUGACGUCAAGUCCUCAUGGCCCUUAUGACCAGGGCUUCACACGUCAUACAAUGGUCGGUACAGAGGGUAGCCAAGCCGCGAGGCGGAGCCAAUCUCACAAAACCGAUCGUAGUCCGGAUUGCACUCUGCAACUCGAGUGCAUGAAGUCGGAAUCGCUAGUAAUCGCAGGUCAGCAUACUGCGGUGAAUACGUUCCCGGGUCUUGUACACACCGCCCGUCACACCAUGGGAGUGGGGGAUACCAGAAGUAGGUAGGGUAACCGCAAGGAGUCCGCUUACCACGGUAUGCUUCAUGACUGGGGUGAAGUCGUAACAAGGUAGCCGUAGGGGAACCUGCGGCUGGAUCACCUCCUUU